GACGAACGCUGGCGGCGUGCUUAACACAUGCAAGUCGAACGGUGAAAGCGGAGCUUGCUCCGCUGGAUCUGUGGCGAACGGGUGAGUAACACGUGGGCAACCUGCCCCUCACUUCGGGAUAACUCCGGGAAACCGGGGCUAAUACCGGAUAUGACCUCCUUGGGCAUCCUUGGAGGUGGAAAGUUUUUCGGUGAGGGAUGGGCCCGCGGCCUAUCAGCUUGGUGGUGAGGUAGUGGCUCACCAAGGCGACGACGGGUAGCCGGCCUGAGAGGGCGACCGGCCACACUGGGACUGAGACACGGCCCAGACUCCUACGGGAGGCAGCAGUGGGGAAUAUUGCGCAAUGGGCGAAAGCCUGACGCAGCAACGCCGCGUGCGGGAUGACGGCCUUCGGGUUGUAAACCGCUUUCAGCAGGGAAGAAGCCGCAAGGUGACGGUACCUGCAGAAGAAGCACCGGCUAACUACGUGCCAGCCGCCGCAGUAA
rnacentral:rRNA from 1 species